rnacentral:rRNA from 1 species
UUGGAGGGCAAGUCUGGUGCCAGCAGCCGCGGUAAUUCCAGCUCCAAUAGCGUAUAUUAAAGUUGUUGCAGUUAAAAAGCUCGUAGUUGAAUUUCGGGAUCAAAUUGUCGGUCGUGCCUCGGUACGCACUGGUAUUAUUGGUUCCUACCUUCUGAAGAACCGCGAUGUCAUUAAUUUGGUGUCGUGGGGAAUCAGGACUGUUACUUUGAAAAAAUUAGAGUGUUUAAAGCAGGCUUACGCUUGAAUACAUUAGCAUGGAAUAAUGAAAUAGGACGUUCGAUUCUAUUUUGUUGGUUUCUAGGAUUGACGUAAUGAUUAAUAGGGAUAGUUGGGGGCAUUAGUAUUCAAUUGUCAGAGGUGAAAUUCUUGGAUUUAUUGAAGACUAACUACUGCGAAAGCAUUUGCCAAGGAUGUUUUCAUUAAUCAAGAACGAAAGUUAGGGGAUCGAAGACGAUCAGAUACCGUCGUAGUCUUAACCAUAAACUAUGCCGACUAGGGAUCGGAUGAUGUUAAUUUUUUAAUGACUCAUUCGGCGCCUUACGGGAAAC